GAUGGUUUUUGUGUAGAGCUCCAUAUUUUUGGAUAAAUCGUUUAUAAUUUUUCGUCUAAAAUUUCACUUUAGUCAAGUUGAUUUUACUAUUGAAGUUGCGCUUGGAAAAAUUACUCAAAAAUAUAUGUUGAAAUUUAAGUUUGUAAAAAUUUCAUUUCCAUCCGUCGGUAAAUAACUUAGAACGGGUCUACCCCGUUUGGCAUAAUGCCAUUUGGCAUACAGUCGUUUGGCAUAAAGUCGUUUGGCAUAACAGUCGUUUGGCAUAAUAGUCGUUUGGCAUAAUGGUCGUUUGGCAUAAUUUGAAAAAGGAAGAUACUGCAGUGGUACAGUCAUAUGCCGUACCAUAAGAAACGUCAUAAAAUUCCAUGUUCCUUUAUUUUUUCAAAUGACAUCGAAUAACUUAGGCGUUCACGCAGAGAACUAACAACGAUUCAAAACAAUAAUUAUUCUUGUUGUUUUCAAUAAGCUUUUUCAGUUUGUUGUAAAUCAACAAAUUGUGCUGAAACAGCAAUGACUUUUAUCAAAACAAAUAAAAAUAUUGUUGGAUUUGCUGGCAGCAUUUUCAAUUUGAUUUUUGUUGAAACAACAAAAUCAAAUCUUUAUUUCAAAUCAUAGAGUUAUUUGUUUCAGUUACUUUUAUUGUUAUUUGAAACGAAAAUUUAACUCAGUGUGUAAGGCAGUGUGUGGCCCGCCAUUUUAUUUCGCGCUGUAAACGGAGUGUAAGAAAAAAUGGCUGACGCGGAAGAGUUCAUCGAAGAACUCGAUGUGGAAAAAAAUAUCCGUGGAGGAAGUCGAGCUGAUAGAAGUGCUCAACAGUUUUAGAAUUACUGAAGCUAUUAUUGAAGCCCUUCUUGGUAAGUUUUAACCAUUCUUUUAUAGAAUUUCAAUUCUCAUCAGCCUUUUUUCGUGAUUGCAGUUAAUUCUUACACGAUUGAAACGCUUAAAGUGAUUCAGCGGCAAGAAAUCGAGCUGCUGAUUCUACCCCCGUCGAUUGCGGAGUGGACCAAAUUCAUUCAUACAUUGGAUAUUUGGAGAACAGCGCAGGGGCUACCAAAAGUCCAAAAAAUUCCAGCAAGUGGCAGCAGCUCUGCUUCGGUGCAAAAUACCAUUGUAAAGCCUUCUGAACCAAGGAUCACGUGGGAUUCAUGCACGGCCACCUAUUUGCUGAAAAACUCGUCGGAGGCACAAGCCAUCAUACGAAAAUACAGCCAAACACCGUUUCUCUCAAGAUCCGACAAAAUGUAUCACCCACUGAAUUUUAAAAUAUACGGUGUUAGAAGUUAUGAUCGUUUUUCUUAAUUUCAAAAUAAGAGCAAAAUAAAAUUUAGCGGGGUGGAGGGGGAGCAGAUCUGGGAUCAAUAAAAUCUUUAUUUAUUUCUAAUAAAAACAUUUUCAAAUUAAAAACCAAGUGUGAUUUAUUUUAAAAAUGUUAUGUUUUAUUUUAAAGCAAAAAUAUUGUUAUUUCGAAAGAAAAAAAUAUUGAAUCAAAAAUUAAUUUUGUUGAACCGCAUUGGACCCAGCUGUCAAAUUCAACAAUUAAUAUUUUUAAACUGAACUGCUUAUAGUUAUUAAAACAAUGAAAGGAUAUUAUAAGCCGGCAAAUAAUACAGAAAAAUGGUUGAAAUGAUACAGAUUUUUGUUGAUAUUAAAAAUGUUUUCGCUGCGUGUUGGAUAUAUUUUUGUUAAAGAUGCGCCAUAAUAUCCUGGACUUAAUGACCCCGGAAGUCAUGUAUGAUGCAAUUACAAAAGAGCUUUAUUGGAUAUUGGUUUCCUUGAAAAAUGAUAAUUAGAAGUAUGUCCUAUCACUAACUGACAACGGAAUGUACGAUCGUGAGCAGUUUAUACACACCCCUUUGCUUGAUGGAAGGAA
rnacentral:lncRNA from 1 species